UGAGGAAUAUUGGUCAAUGGGGGCAACCCUGAACCAGCCAAGUCGCGUGAAGGAUGAAGGUCUUAUGGAUUGUAAACUUCUUUUACACGGGAAUAAAGCGGGGGACGCGUCCCUCUUUGCAUGUACCGUGUGAAUAAGGAUCGGCUAACUCCGUGCCAGCAGCCGCGGUAAUACGGAGGAUCCGAGCGUUAUCCGGAUUUAUUGGGUUUAAAGGGUGCGCAGGCGGGAUGUUAAGUCGGCGGUGAAAUUUUGCAGCUCAACUGUAAAAGUGCCUUCGAUACUGGCCUUCUUGAGUGUGGAUGAAGUAGGCGGAAUUUGUGGUGUAGCGGUGAAAUGCUUAGAUAUCACGAGGAACUCCGAUUGCGCAGGCAGCUUACUAAGCCACAACUGACGCUCAUGCACGAAGGCGUGGGGAUCAAACA
rnacentral:rRNA from 1 species